rnacentral:rRNA from 1 species
ACGGAGGAUCCAAGCGUUAUCCGGAAUUAUUGGGUUUAAAGGGUCCGCAGGCUGUUUGUUAAGUCAGGGGUGAAAUCCUACCGCUCAACGGUAGAACUGCCUUUGAUACUGGCAAACUUGAGUUAUUGUGAAGUAGUUAGAAUGUGUAGUGUAGCGGUGAAAUGCAUAGAUAUUACACAGAAUACCAAUUGCGAAGGCAGAUUACUAACAAUUAACUGACGCUGAGGGACGAAAGCGUGGGUAGCGAACAGG